rnacentral:tRNA from 1 species
UGUCCCGUAGCUCCGUAGAGCGUUGGUCUUAUGAGCCGAAGGUCGUGGGUCCGAGCCCCACUGGGACCA